rnacentral:rRNA from 1 species
CACAUGCAAGUCGAACGGAACCUAUGGGCUUGCUCUUAGGUUUAGUGGCGAACGGGUGAGUAACAUAUCGGAACGUAUCCAAUAAUGGGGGAUAACUAAACGAAAGCUUGGCUAAGACCGCAUACGCCCUGAGGGGGAAAGCUAGGGAUCUUCGGACCUGGCGUUAAUGGAGCGGCCGAUAUCUGAUUAGCUAGUUGGUGGGGUAAAGGCCCACCAAGGCGACGAUCAGUAGCUGGUCUGAGAGGACGACCAGCCACACUGGAACUGAGACACGGUCCAGACUCCUACGGGAGGCAGCAGUGGGGAAUUUUGGACAAUGGGGGAAACCCUGAUCCAGCCAUUCCGCGUGAGUGAAGAAGGCCUUCGGGUUGUAAAGCUCUUUCGCAAGGGAAGAAAGAUUACUCUCUAAUAUAGAGUGAUUAUGACGGUACCUUGAUAAGAAGCACCGGCUAACUACGUGCCAGCAGCCGCGGUAAUACGUAGGGUGCGAGCGUUAAUCGGAAUUACUGGGCGUAAAGCGUGCGCAGGCUGUUUAGCAAGUCAGAUGUGAAAUCCCCGAGCUCGACUUGGGAACUGCGUCUGAAACUGCUAGACUAGAAUCGGUCAGAGGGGGGUAGAAUUCCACGUGUAGCAGUGAAAUGCGUAGAGAUGUGGAGGAAUAUCAAUGGCGAAGGCAGCUCCCUGGGAUCAGAUUGACGCUCAUGCACGCAAGCGUGGCGAGCAAACAUGGAUUACAUACCCUGGUCAGUCCACGCCCCUAAACGAUGUCCAACUAGCUUGUUGGGUAGAGUACAAUCUAUGAGUAACGCCAGCUAACGCGUGCAAGCUUGACCGACCUGGGCGAGUACGAUCGCAAGACUAAAGCUCAGAUGAAGUUGACCGGGGGACCCGCACAAGCGGUGGGAUUAUGUUGCAUUAAAUUCGAUGCAACGCGUAACACGGUACCUGGGCGUUGACAUGUACGGCCGAUUUGAGAGCAUGAGAUUGUGCUCUAAAGAAGAUCCGGGAACACAGGUGCUGCAUGGCUGUCGUCAGCUCGUGUCGUGAGAUCGCUGGGACUAAGUCCCGCACCAAAGCGCUAAGCCUCUGGCACAGAUAAUAUG